AUUUCUGGAUCCACUCAGGAGCUUGAACCCUGUAGUCCGUUCAUUUCCUCCAAACCCACUGACAGAUCACCAAGCCUUUGCCACGAUAAAACGAGCAUUGAUGGAUCCAGGAAGUCACAAUAUUAUGUAGUGACUUGCUCCAGAAUAAGGUCUGUGGCCUUCAUGCGCUAGGAUGAUUUGCCUGCCAGAGUCUCUUACUCUCUGUCGAAGCUUGACUGAGUUCACAGAGCCCAGCGACGUGAUUAAAACCUCCCUGACACUCCCUGACAGACUUGUCUUGGCUCAUCCGAUGAUAACACAAAUGCCUUCUGCUGUAACAUCCAGCCUGCUGUUUUCUGUGUCCCCAACCUCACACUCUUCUCCAGCUCUCCAUGGAACAAUGUUCUUGGCACUUGGCAGCUCUUUGUAACAACUUCCAGGCCACUUAUCAUAGCAUGGCUUUCUCAUCCGAGAAGAGAUGCAGCGAAAGCAUUCCUGACUUGAAAAAUCACCAGGAGAACCUCUGUGAAGAGUGUAUCAGAUCGCGGAAUUCUUCUCCACAUUAGCUGUAGAAGGGGAAAUGAAAAGGGAAAGAGAAAGGAGAAAGGACGAGGGGGAAAGGAGGGAGGGAGAAAGCUUCAUCUGGAGGACAUUCCUCCCCUAACUACAUAUAAACUUUACAUUUGAC